rnacentral:rRNA from 1 species
GCAACGAGCGCAACCCUUGCCUUUAGUUGCCAGCAGUUCGGCUGGGCACUCUAAAGGGACUGCCGGUGUUAAACCGGAGGAAGGUGGGGAGUGACGUCAAGUCCUCAUGGCCUUUAUGACCAGGGCUACACACGUACUACAAUGGCCGAUACAAAGGGCAGCGACACUGCGAGGUGAAGCCAAUCCCGUAAAAUCGGUCUCAGUCCGGAUUGGAGUCUGCAACUCGACUCCAUGAAGUUGGAAUCGCUAGUAAUCGUGGAUCAGCAUGCCACGGUGAAUACGUUCCCGGGCCUU